CAUUGUAUAUCACUCCCCUUUAAAGAGAGAGGCGAGAGCGAGUUUCCGAAUCCAACUACGUGGAAGGUUUGGCUCAUGAAUUUUAAACAGACCCCGGUGACGUUGCUUAGUAGCCUUCCAAUGCAAAAGACCAGCUCUUUAAUAUUAAUUAGCCUAUGAUGACGUUGUUUGUUUAACCGUCCAAUAGUGAAGUCACUUCUCCUACAUAUUAAUGAGGAGUUAUUCAUAGCCAUAGUACGGAUGGUAAUUUCCCCGGCGGAGACCCAAGACCAACCCGAGUGGGCAAAUCUGAUCCGCUGAGCGUGAAGUGAACGGUCAUUCCUCGCAGGGCAGACACGGAUCACAGGGCGUGGGCUCGGACUGAGUCCGGCGGAGAGAGCUUCGAUCCUACAAAUACAACAAAUUCACAUUUAAUAUAUAACAGGACACUUGAUUAAAAUGUAUCGUGGAAAGUCUAGUGAUGAGACGCUUAUAGAAAUGAACCGAACUGCUUGGUCCGGCGGCGAAGAAAACAACGGCUUCCAUGCUAAUUCGGAUAAGGAGACUCUUCAGCUGGAAAAUGCAGAGUCCAUGCUGAGUGUUGUGUCUGAAUGCUCAAGCGCUGUGUCUGUUUGCUCAAGUCAUUCUUCAGUGAAUGUGUGUGAACAGUGUGAGAGAGAAAACACUGAACCACAGCAGCACCUCACCAGCUUUAAAGGGAUCUGGAGAAAGAGAGCUUUAUUUCUGAAGUACCGCUCCAGGGUACGCCACGGUAAAGAGGGCUGA
rnacentral:lncRNA from 12 species